UAAGUCUUUCGACCGUUGCCUUAUUUUACGAUCUACCGGAACGCUUCAAACAUGCCCUCAGAAUUUUUUUUUUGUACUUUUUUUUUUCUCCAACUCUUUUUAUUGUUUAAAUAUUUUUCUGACGCUACCAUGUUAUAGCGACGUUUUCAAAUAAUAAAGUUUAUUUAUAACAAUUACAAUACUUGAUAUACUGCAACGUUAAAAUAAAUAAUUAACCCAUAAUAAAAUUACUGUAAAGUAUUUAUCUUCAAUUUCAUAACAAAUCAAUUAUCAGUAUUGAAAUGAAAAAGAUAUUUUACACAGUCUACAUAAAAUUCGUUGAGGCAGAAUAAAUUGACAGCUACCCAUAAUUUAAUUAUUAAUUAAUUAAAUCUUGAUUUCUACAGUUUUUACUAAUAUUACAUUUUAACAUACUGUGUGCGUGCUUUUAUUAUUAGAAAAUUAAAAAAUUUUUAAUUAUUUAAAAUUUCUUGUUUGCUAUACAGAUAAACAUUUGUUUAUGAGUGAAUUUGGUAUCAAAGAAUAAAGACUAUAUACAUGUAUAAAAAUAACUCGGAAAAGAUGUAUAAUCAUAAUCUUAUACAUGAAACGACAUAUACGCGUUAAUUGUAGCAAUGUAUAGUAUCGUUAUUUUUCAUGUUAUUUAAGAGAUAUUCAAAAACAUAUACGGGACUAAGUUAUUAAAAUAUACGACUGUGUGUUUGUAGAUGUUUAAAAACAACCAAAUUCUUUUGCUUCUUCAUAUACCAAUAUAUGGACCAAAAAAUAAACGGUUUGAAACCUUCGAUGUUAAAACAAAGCAGUCAAGACAUAGACCACAUUUUUGACGGAAGAACUAUUAAAUUAAAAAUUGUCGUUACAAUUUUUUUAAUUCAUUUGAUUAAAAUUAUUCAGAAUUCUAUGUAAUUAUUCGUAGUUAUGUUAAAUUGUGAUAAUAAUAGGAAACUGAGAAUUGUAGAAAAUUUUCUCUUUUUUUUUAAAUUUUCUCGAUCUACCAUCGAGUUUACUUUUUCUCUGGUCAUAAAAACCUCUCUCAUACACGAGCCGGGACCAACAUGUGACUUGUGACGUCAAAGGUCCCAGGACAAAGGUCUUAGUUUUAUUUAAGAAACAAACAACUCUUAGCCGAUACAACUAGAACACAUAGCCCUUCGUCUCCGGGGGGAACAUACGUAUUCUUUUAGGCACAAAGUGAACACGUUAGCGACAAUUACAAUAAAAAAAAACAAUAAAUAUUAAUAAAAAUAAUCAGUGUGAAAUUAGUGAAUUUUUAAUUGUGCAAGUUUUUUAGUAAUUCAUUUUAUAAACAAUUUUAGUGAAGUAUAAUAAACUCAUUAAAUAAAUAACUAGUGAUACAGAUCCAACAAAGAAGCAUUAUAAAUUUGGUCUUAUAAAAGAAAGAAUUGGAGGAGAAUGAGCUGUUUGCAGUGACGCCAGUAACAAAUCCGAUAUUAAUUAUCCGAGGAAAAGAAUUACACGAUGAUAACAAACGAUACAAUGUAGUACUCGAAAAACAAUGUCUGAUUGGAGUAGAUUCAUUCCUUGAAGGAAUUUUAGUUACAUUUUUAUCGUACUAUGUCUUUGGAUUUGCUUAUCCAAACAAAUUAGAAAAGACAAUGGAAGCUAUUCAAAAAUUGUUUCUUAAAAUUUCUCCACCAGGGAAGGGUAAUAAGCGAGAUGGAAAAAAACGAAAAGCUAUACUGUCAUUUAUCCGAAAGUAGCUUCAUUUAUGAAAGAAAUAAAUUAUUAUAUAAAUAAUUAAUAAAAAUUAAAACCUUUUAUAUAAAAUAUAAUUCGAAAAUUUAAAAAAAAAAUCAAAUGUAU